rnacentral:tRNA from 1 species
GUGAGGAUAACUCAGUUGGGAGAGUGUCAGACUAAAGAUCUAAAGGUUGUGUGUUCGAUCCAUGCUCACCGCA